ensembl:lncRNA
UGCAGACUACCUGUAUACAUAUACCUGACUCAGCACUGCAGACUACCUGUAGUGAAAUGGAGGACGGACAGAGCUGGAUGAUGACUACCGUUAAACUAGAAGAAGAAGAAAUAUUAUUGAGGGAAGUGAAGCUGAGUAUGAGUAAGACGGACAGUGAUGAUGAUGAUGAUGAUGAAGGCUGCAGGAGGAAAGCUGUGCUGGAGGAGCUUCGUCAUCCCGACCAUGUGUGGGACGGAAUGUUUGCUCCAAAGAUGGAGAAAAGCGGAGAAGAAGAAACGGAGGAGUUUUCAGAUGUGUGCUCUGUGAAGGAAGAGCAAUGCAUGUCUAAACGUUUUGAUGGAUCACAACAAGCUUUGGAUCUGAACAGUAUUCACACAGACACAGUGAUGCGUUUCCAUCUGCUGAAGCACACAUGA